CGGGUCUUGUACACACUGCCCGUCAAGCCAUGGGAGUUGGUUUUACCUUAAGCAGGUGCGCUAACCGUAAGGAAGCAGCCUACCACGGUAAAGUCGAUGACUGGGGUU
rnacentral:rRNA from 1 species